rnacentral:rRNA from 1 species
AUUGAACGCUGGCGGCAUGCUUUACACAUGCAAGUCGAACGGCAGCGCGGGCUUCGGCCUGGCGGCGAGUGGCGAACGGGUGAGUAAUACAUCGGAACGUGCCCAGUAGUGGGGGAUAGCUCGGCGAAAGCCGGAUUAGUACCGCAUACGACCUGAGGGUGAAAGCGGGGGAUCUUCGGACCUCGCGCUAUUGGAGCGGCCGAUGGCAGAUUAGCUAGUUGGUGGGGUAAAGGCCUACCAAGGCGACGAUCUGUAGCUGGUCUGAGAGGACGACCAGCCACACUGGGACUGAGACACGGCCCAGACUCCUACGGGAGGCAGCAGUGGGGAAUUUUGGACAGUGGGCGAAAGCCUGAUCCAGCAAUGCCGCGUGUGUGAUGAAGGCCUUCGGGUUGUAAAGCACUUUUGGCGGGAACGAAAAGGACUGUGCCAAUACCACGGUUCGAUGACGGUACCCGCAGAAUAAGCACCGGCUAACUACGUG